GAAUUUUUUGUUUGAGUUUUGGUUUAAUGGUGGUGGAAUAAAAUUUUAAGGAAAUUUGAGAGGGGAAGAAGAUGAGAAGAAGAGGGAAAAAAGGAAGUAGGACUGACACGUCAGCUUUGGUGAAUUUAAGGCGGGGUUGUAUGGAAUUUUUAUCGACUACGGCGCGGAGUAGUGAACCUGGAGAAGAAGUGAAAAACUCAAAACUAGUCGGAUUGACUCACGGUCGACCCAAUUGAAUCAACCAAUAUGGUUGCCGUUGAGUUAAUUAGUUAAUUUAAAAAUUCAAACACAAAAUAAGACCACCUUCUGUUAAUGUAAUACAUAGGAGGAGGAGGAGACAAUGAUGUAGGCAAUUGAGUUGAUAUGAGUUGUGCUGUAUUAGGUUUAGCUCGGAGUAUGGUAUACUAAGGUGGAGAUGACCGCAUCAGAGCGAAAGCAGGAAUGGGGGGACCCGUCGUACUGAGAUAUUUUAAUUUUUCCCACUGAGAAGAGAACACUUCCCAUCCGUCAGUGGACUUUCCACUACUGCAAAUUUCCAUGCAACCUCCAGUUUUGACUUUCCACCACUGCUACAAGCAUAAACGGGAGGUUUCUCCGGCGGGGAUUAAGCUCGCCGGAGAAAAAGGUUAGUAUGAUGCAUGAAUUAUUCAAUUACAGUUUAUAUAUAGGCUUGGCUGUUACAGUUGAUUAAUCGGAUAAUGAAUUGAGUACGAUUCGAUCUUGUUAAGGCUCUAUCAUGUCACAUGUUGAUGAAGUCGCGGAUUACUAGUCCAUCAGGUUGCGAAUUGAGUGAGUUACAAGUUAACAAUUCAGAUUAUGGCCUCAUCAGGUUACCAAGUGGGUGAGCUAUGAGUUGGUAUGUUUUAUCCACACGAGCCACAGAUCGAGCUGGAUCAGGAUAGGCAGGUUUGCCAGCCGAUAAUCAAUUCGAGUUAAGAGCGAGGCUCCAUAAGCAGGUACAUACAUUAAAGCUGAGAGAUAGACAUGAACAAGUUACAACAGGAUGGUAUGACAAACACAUCAUCAAAUUUUGAUAACAUUGUUGUCCAAACAACCAUUGAUUUGAUUGAAUCACAACAAGAGAAACAGAAGAACAACAAACUCAGAACUCAGAAACUGAGAAAUCACAGUUGGUGGUGUUUUAUGUCCAUCAGAGAGUAUUUCUAAUGAAAAAGUAGGCAGGGUAAACAAAGAGGAGAACAAUUCCGAUGGUGUUGGAGAUUCCUGCUUCUCUGGUGAAGGCGUUCCUGAACCCGCCGGAGGCUCUGAUGUGUUCUUGCAGCAAGUAGCAGGCUAUCCCGAGGCA
rnacentral:lncRNA from 1 species